ACGUAGGGUGGGAGCGUUAAUCGGAAUUACUGGGCGUAAAGCGUGCGCAGGCGGAUUGUUAAGCAAGACGUGAAAUCCCCGGGCUUAACCUGGGAAUGGCGCUUGUGACUGGCGGGCUGGAGUACGGCAGAGGGGGGUGGAAUUCCACGUGUAGCAGUGAAAUGCGUAGAGAUCCGGAGGAACACCAGAGGCGAAGGCGACACCCUGGGCCGUACCUGACGCUAAGACGCGACAGCACGGGGAGCGAACGG
rnacentral:rRNA from 1 species